UACGUAGGGGGCAAGCGUUGUCCGGAUUCAUUGGGCGUAAAGAGCGUGUAGGCGGCCUGGAAGGUCAGCUGUGAAAACUCGAGGCUCAACCUCGAGACGUCGGUUGAAACCACCUGGCUAGAGUCCGGAAGAGGAGUGUGGAAUUCCCGGUGUAGCGGUGGAAUGCGCAGAUAUCAGGAAGAACACCCGUGGCGAAGGCGGCUCUCUGGGACGGUAUUGACGCUGAGACGCGAAAGCGUGGGGAGCGAACGGG
rnacentral:rRNA from 1 species